CCCAACUAUCCCUAUUAAUCAUUACGGUGAUCCUAGAAACCAACAAAAUAGAAUCAUGCCGUCCUAUUUCAUUAUUCCAUGCUAAUCUAUUCAAGCAUAAAGCCUGCUUUAAACACUCUAAUUUUUUCAAAGUAACAGUCCUAGCUUCCUAUUACACCUAAUGAAAGGCAUAAUAGUUCACUAGAAGGUGGAGAUUGACAACUACCAGUACAUGUCCGAAAACACGACCGAUAUGCCAAUCCCGAAAUUCAACUACGAGCUUUUUAACUGCAACAACUUUAAUAUACGCUAUUGGAGCUGGAAUUACCGCGGCUGCUGGCACCAGACUUGCCCUCCAA
rnacentral:misc_RNA from 1 species